rnacentral:lncRNA from 1 species
ACUGUGACCCCAGAUUGGACACUGAUUGUACCCAAAUCAAGCUUUGUGACCCUCCCUGAAUUUAUAGUUGUUACAACUUACAGACCCCUGGGAUCGGGCCUUGAGACUUGUUUCAGGAGUUUCCUGAGCCCUGUGAAUUUUCACUUCCUGAGUCUCAGAAGCUCUCCUCUUCCCUCCAAAGAGGGUGUUUCAAUUGGGAGGAAGUAGCCACACAACCCUGGUCCUGGACCUGGUUCCCCAUCACCCACAGCCUUGGACACCCCGCACAGAGAACAUUCAUAAAGUUGAAAGCCGCAAAGGGGCUGACCAGUGCCCAGUACAUCUCCCCUUUCCCUUCAGGUUCUGGAAAUUGGACCCUGGACAGGUAUACGCUAGUGGGCCCAACGCGUGGGACACAGCUGUGCACGAUGCCUCCGAAGAGUACAAGCACCGCAUGCACAAUCUCUGCUGUGACAACUGCCACUCACACGUGGCUUUGGCCCUGAACCUGAUGCGUUACAACAACAGCACCAACUGGAACAUGGUGACGCUUUGCUUCUUCUGCCUGAUUUAUGGGAAGUAUGUCAGUGUUGGAGCCUUCGUGAAGACCUGGCUGCCCUUCGUCCUUCUCCUGGGCAUUAUCCUGACCAUCAGUCUCGUCUUCAAUCUGCGGUGAUGGCUUUCAGAUGUCUAAGCCCCCGAGGAGGCCCCUUCCACUCACCCCUUUUGGUCUCAAUUCUUUCAUCCCCACCCUCAGGCAGAGUUGCCUCCUGGGUUGGAGGUAGGGUCAGGACCUGGGACAAAGUGCUAAUGUUGGGCACCUGAUGGGGCCAUUUAGAGCCUCCUUGUCCUCUCCAUGAGCCGGAGACCUCACCUGUGUGGCAUCCCAGUGCCAUCCCGGAAAGGCCUCCCUCCCUCUAGAGCAUCUCCUGCCACCAUCACUGGGCCACUCUUGCCAUGCCCAGGGCACAGUGAGGACAAGAACCCGAGGGGCAAAACAGUGUUCGGAGCUGGAUUUGAAGCUGUUUUCUGGCUGGUAGUUGGGUGUGUGUUAGGAGAAGUGCUGCACACCAAGCGACUUGGAACCUUCUCCGCUGGCCUCAGAUGGACUGGGAGGGCUGGCUGGGCUCCUCCUGUGUCUGCCAGAGCUGCACGAGCGUGGUGUGUGCCUCAUCACCGCCAAUAGGCCCUGGCUAGCAAGGGCUGAAUGGCACUUACGCCGAGUGGGUCCCCCGUAAACCUGGUAACAUGAACCCCACUUGUUUCCAGCCCAGGAGUCCUCAUGCCGGGGAUAGAAGCCUUUAGGUCCAAAAGGUAACUCAUCAGAGCAGCUGGUGCCACUGAUUGGCUAGGUCUGCUUCCGAUUGCUACAAUGGGCCCUGUGCAGCCUGCCUCCCCCUGGUCCACAGGCUCCUUUAUAAGGGGCUCCCUGGCAGGAAAUAAAGUUUUAAGUCUAA